rnacentral:rRNA from 1 species
UACGAAGGGGGCUAGCGUUGCUCGGAAUCACUGGGCGUAAAGCGCACGUAGGCGGCUUUCUAAGUCAGGGGUGAAAUCCUGGAGCUCAACUCCAGAACUGCCUUUGAUACUGGAGAGCUUGAGUCCGGAAGAGGUGAGUGGAACUCCGAGUGUAGAGGUGAAAUUCGUAGAUAUUCGGAAGAACACCAGUGGCGAAGGCGGCUCACUGGUCCGGUACUGACGCUGAGGUGCGAAAGCG